GGGGCCGGGCACCCGCCCGGGCGCGCCCUGGAGCCGCUCCUGCUCCUGCUCGUGCUGCUGCUGCUGCUGCUGCUGCUCCUGCUGGCGGAAGGCGAGGCCGCCCAAGACCCCUGACGCUCGGGAUGGGGCCUGGGGCGGGAGGGGCGCAGACCAGCGAGGGCGGCUGCCCCAUCCCUUGAAGGACCGCGACUCGCCCGCCCUGUGGGAUGGGGGCAUCCCGCGGCCUCUCGCCGGGAAAAGCGAAGGUGGUUUCUCCACGGACAGUUGGGUUAGGCAGUAGCUCCCUGAAGAAAAGAUCAAAGGAAGUUGUAGAAGAGAGUGCCAUUUAGAGCCAGAUCUGGAUGGAUAGAGAGGAGUUUCACCAGGGAGAGAAGAGAUGAUGGAACAGAAUGGACAGUAGCGAAGAGGCAUGAAAUUGCAUGGACAGGAGGGAAAUGAUGAAUGCUAGUCCAGGGUGGCUUUAGGAAACUUGGGGAAUCAGAGACAAGACUGUGAAGAUAAUCCUGGGUUCAACUGUGAUAAGUCUUGUAGAGCAGGCUGAAGAAGUUGAUCAUGACUUUGUAGGCAAUGGGGAAGCAGCAAAGAGCUAUAAACAGAAAAAAUGAUA